GUCUACAGCCAUACCACCCUGAACGCGCCUGAUCUCAUCUGAUCUCAGAAGCUAAGCAGGGUCGGGCCUGGCUAGUACUUGGAUGGGAGAACAAUGUUAAAAGCUAGGGUCUUUUGGGGC
rnacentral:rRNA from 1 species